GACAUUUUGAGGAAAAAAGUGUUGAAAACUGAUUAUUAAAGUGAAUUUUCUAAGUCAAAGGACCAUAACUCUGCACAAAAAAAUCAGACAGGAACAAAAUUCAAACUUGAUUAUCAUUUGUAACUUGCCACCAUAAAGACAUACACCUAUCAAAUCAAUAUCUUCAAGUAUAAAAAACCAAGAAUAUGUCCAUAGUACAUGGAUGCCCCACUCGCACUAUCAUUUUCUAUGUUCAGUGGACUGUGAAAUGGGGGUCAAAACUAGAAAGAUCAUAUCAAAGGUAACGUGUACUAAGUUGCAAGUUGAUUGGACUUCAAAUUCCUCAAAAACUACCUUGACCAAAAACUUAAACCUGAAGCAGGACAG
rnacentral:lncRNA from 1 species